GAAGUGGCCAGAGCUGUGUGGUGGAGAAUAAAGUCUCCACAUGAGAAAUUAUCACAGGCACAGAACUGGCAGCUCCAGACAGUCGGAAAUCACAGCUCAAGCCUCUGAGCAGUGCCACAGGGCUUUUAAAAGUUACUCAUAUGGGAUCAUAUAGAUUUUUAAGGAAUCUCUAAGUGCAUUUUUUCCCAAAAAUAUGGAAGCAUAAGGUUACUCAUAUGGGAUCAUGCAUGGAAGUUUUCACCCACCAUGGCUGAAUCUCCACAAGCACUGACUGUCCAGUCCUGGGACCUGACCUGAACAAGCUGAACCCUCUCAAAGCCCUUCCAUGCACCUUCUGGAGUUUCCUUCCUGUGGGCAUCAGGCCAUGGAGGCAGAGAUGGGAAGCAAAACUUCACCGUGCACUCAGUGUUUGUAACAAUGGCUGCGAUGUGUGCCUGGAGCUGGGAAGUAUUUCUGAGUCCCACCAGGCUCUCACAGCCCAUUCCUGCACCUAAUCCUGUAGAGAGCAGAGGCUGAUAGCACCAUUCCAAGGUGCUCUACGUGAUCCAUGCAGGAGAACUGAGCACUGGAUCUUCUCCUGCAGGGUCUGGGCCUCUCUUGCCUCCUUGCUGAACUCACAGAAGGAACACAUGGACCUGGAGGCAGGCAACCCCAUUCCCAGCACUGCGUGGGGGUGGGCAGGCAGAAUGCAUGAAGAAGGGGAAUGGCAGGGAGAGAAGGAGGUCACAUCCCCCUUGGCUGUCCUGCUAAAUCCCCACCUGAGUUUCAUUACGUUAUUGCCUUACAGCUGACAUCUCAUUAUGGAAGCUCACAGAAGGCCUGGACUUUUGAACCCAAGAGCAAAGGUCAAUUUUUGCCACUAAAUCAAGGUGGCAGAGGAAACAUAUGGUCCAUGGUUGAUCCCUCCUCUCUGUCCUGAUUUAUUAGAAACCAAGAAUUGAUUUUUUUGGAACUGCCUUUGCAUUUAUUUUCUCUGUAUUUGGGAUCAGUUAGAUAUCUCUAAAAAAACCCAAAAAACCCAAACCAAAACCAAACCCCAAAAAAAACAACAUAAAAUCUCCAGUAAACCUUUAUACACAGGUUUCUAUUUAGGUACCUGAUAUUGUGAACUGUUUUACUUCAGAGAUAAUUUUAAGCUGUCAUCCCUGACAUUGCCUUCUGUUGAACUCUGUUACAGUCCUUUCUUGCAAUCCCUCUGCAUUUUAGCAAGAUUUCAUCCUCUAUCCAUAUUCCAUUGUGACUGCUUUUGGCUCAGAUCCUGCACUAACAUGGUCAAGAAAUGUGAACAUGAUAGGAAAAUAACCCCAUAGGUGAGCUAAAAGUCUUUCUCUGGGUAAUUUGUAUGCUCUUCCCUUCUAGCUGUAAUAGCAUCAAAUCAAAGUGAUAAGGAUACUGCUAAAAUUGCUUUAAUUAACGUCAGUUUUACAGCCAUAAAUCAUUAUUAAUUCCCACGUUAAAUUUUGGAAAUGGCCUAGAUUUUUUUGGCCAUUGCCACCGUUUGUCUGGAACUUUUCCCACUUGCAGACCUUUGCUUGUUCUUCUUACUCUCAUCCUGAUGUUUCCCCGUCAAGUGGAGCUUCCAUCUGGCCUGAAUGUGUGCACAAAGUUACUCUCACUCCUUCAACCGUGACCUAACUCCACUUUCUGUCAGUGCCUGGCCUUUUUCUAAUUCCAGAGGUAGAUGAGAUGCUGGAAGUCAUUGCUGCCCUGCCUUUCAAGAGACAAAAUCAUUGAUCAGAGAUUGUCUUCCCAUAUUAGUGCAUUAUUGCAAUUUAACAAUACUUCAGAUGUCUACAGAGAGAAGCUGAGCACAUCGCUGAUACAUCUACAUAGAUUAAGCUUUUCCUCUUAAAUGGAAUGCAGCCACUUCUUUCAGGAGUUCUUGCUUCCAGAUGUAUUAAUGAAGGUGAAUAAAAUAUUUAAAUUACUUAGCAGCUCAUCUAUUUUACUGGAUGUUGACUUUCCAAUGACUAUUUAGCAGGCCUUUCUUUUAUUCCACUUGGGAGCUUGGACUAGUUUGUUUUCACUGUUUCAUAUGUAUUGAUAAAAUUCACUUCUGCUGAAGAGAAUCCAUUCUUUAGGAAAGCUGUGAUUCUCCUAUAUUUCAAUUUUCAUUUCUGUUUAUAUACUUCUUUUACUUAACAGAAUUCAGCUGCCCUGUUUGCUGUGUCAUUUGUAUGCAGACGAUAUUCGGAUAUCCUCUCAGUCCCUUCAGAGUCUACAAAGAAGUUUGAUGUUUUGUGUAAUUGCCUCUGUGAUAUUUAAUCACGGGUAACUUCAAAUUUUGUUAAACUUAACACAGACAAAACUGAGUUGCUAUUGAUUAGUUCACUGGUGCAGAGGUCUCAGGUGUCAUCUGUGGUAGUUUCCAUUUGUGGUAUUUCUUUUAUCCUUCAGAUAAUGCUUGUGACCUUGGGGUCAUUGUGGAUUUGGUGCCUGCUUUUGAAGCCCACAUCAAUCAUGUAAUUAAAGUGUCUUACUACUGUCUUUGGAAUCUA